rnacentral:rRNA from 1 species
AGUGAACGCUGGCGGUAGGCCUAACACAUGCAAGUCGAACGGCAGCACAGUAAGAGCUUGCUCUUACGGGUGGCGAGUGGCGGACGGGUGAGGAGUACAUCGGAAUCUACUUUUUCGUGGGGGAUAACGUAGGGAAACUUACGCUAAUACCGCAUACGACCUACGGGUGAAAGCAGGGGAUCUUCGGACCUUGCGCGAUUGAAUGAGCCGAUGUCGGAUUAGCUAGUUGGCGGGGUAAAGGCCCACCAAGGCGACGAUCCGUAGCUGGUCUGAGAGGAUGAUCAGCCACACGGGAACGGGACACCGGUCCGACCCCCUAGGGGGGGCAGCGGUGGGGAAUUUUGGAAAAGGGGCGCAAGCCUGAUCCAGCCUAACGGGGGGGGGGAAGAAGGCCUUCGGGUUGUAAAGCCUUUUUGUUGGGAAAAAAAAGCAGCAGGUUAAAACCCCGCUUUUCUGACGGUACCCAAAGAAUAAGCACCGGCUAACUUCGU